rnacentral:piRNA from 1 species
UCAUAAGAGGAACACAGAUGACAUGUUGUC